rnacentral:rRNA from 1 species
UGCGUAGGCGGCGUUAUAAGUCAGAUGUGAAAGCCCACCGCUUAACGGUGGAACUGCAUUUGAUACUGUAGUGCUUGAAUCAGGCUGAGGUCAGCGGAAUGUGUCAUGUAGCGGUGAAAUGCAUAGAUAUGACAUAGAACACCAAUUGCGAAGGCAGCUGGCUAGACCUGUAUUGACGCUGAGGCACGAAAGCGUGGGGAGCAAACAGGAUUAGAUACCCUGGUAGUCC